UACGUAGGGCGCAAGUGUUGUCCGGAAUUAUUGGGCGUAAAGAGCUCGUAGGCGGCUUGUCACGUCGAUUGUGAAAGCCCGAGGCUUAACCUCGGGUCUGCAGUCGAUACGGGCUAGCUAGAGUGUGGUAGGGGAGAUCGGAAUUCCUGGUGUAGCGGUGAAAUGCGUAGAUAUCAAGAGGAACACCUGAGGUGAAGACGGGUUGCUGGGCCGACACUGACGCUGACAGCGCGAAAGCCAGGGGAGCAAACGGG
rnacentral:rRNA from 1 species